rnacentral:snRNA from 1 species
GACUACCGUCUAGAUUCCUAGAGCCAACUUGAGCGAAUGUACAGAGAAGAUUAGCAUGGCCCCUGCACAAGGAUGACACUAAACUUGAGCGAAGGAGCCGAGACUCCG